rnacentral:rRNA from 1 species
UCUACGGGUGGCUGCAGUGGGGAAUAUUGCACAAUGGGCGCAAGCCUGAUGCAGCCAUGCCGCGUGUGUGAAGAAGGCCUUCGGGUUGUAAAGCACUUUCAGCGGGGAGGAAGGCGUUAAGGUUAAUAACCUUGUCGAUUGACGUUACCCGCAGAAGAAGCACCGGCUAACUCCGUGCCAGCAGCCGCGGUAAUACGGAGGGUGCAAGCGUUAAUCGGAAUUACUGGGCGUAAAGCGCACGCAGGCGGUCUGUCGAGUCGGAUGUGAACUCCCCGGGCUCAACCUGGGAACUGCAUUCGAAACUGGCAGGCUAGAGUCUUGUAGAGGGGGGUAGAAUUCCAGGUGUAGCGGUGAAAUGCGUAGAGAUCUGGAGGAAUACCGGUGGCGAAGGCGGCCCCCUGGACAAAGACUGACGCUCAGGUGCGAAAGCGUGGGGAGCAAACAGGAUUAGAUACCCAGUAGUC